rnacentral:rRNA from 1 species
UUGCUCUUCAACGAGGAAUACCUAGUAAGCGUGAUUCAUCAGAUCGCGUUGAUUACGUCCCUGCCCUUUGUACACACCGCCCGUCGCUACUACCGAUUGAAUGGCUUAGUGAGGCCUUCGGAUUGGCUAUCGGGAUCCCGCGAGGGAACCUGACUGCCGAGAAGUUGUACGAACUUGGUCAUUUAGAGGAAGUAAAAGUCGUAACAAGGUUUCCGUAGGUGAACCUGCGGAAGGAUCAUUAGUGAAUCUAGCGUGUCUUCGGAGCGCGAACUCUCACUUUACACACUGUGCACUUUAUUCAGCGGAUGACGAGGCUUUCGAGUCGAGUCUCUGCGCUCACAUUUAAACACGAGUUGAUGUAUGUCAAUAUAUUAAAACAAAGAAAAACUUUCAACAACGGAUCUCUUGGCUCUCGCAUCGAUGAAGAACGCAGCGAAAUGCGAUAAGUAAUGUGAAUUGCAGAAUUCAGUGAAUCAUCGAAUCUUUGAACGCAUCUUGCGCUCUCUGGUAUUCCGGAGAGCAUGUCUGUUUGAGUGUCAUGAACUCUUCAACCCACCGGUUUCUAGUUAAACUGCUGUGGCGCUUGGAUCCUGAGCGUUUGCUCUGCCUUGGCAGAGCUCGUUCGUAAAACAUUAGCUUUCUUGACUCGAUUCGGAUUGACUCGGCGUAAUAGACUAUUCGCUGAGGACAAGCUUCGCGCUUGGCCGGCUCGACUGUCAGACGAAGGCUUCUAGUCUGUCAUUUUUUAAGAUUAGACCUCAAAUCAGAUAGGACUACCCGCUGAACUUAAGCAUAUCAAUAAGCGGAGGA